rnacentral:rRNA from 1 species
GUGCCAGCCGCCGCGGUAAUACGUAGGGGGCGAGCGUUGUCCGGAUUUAUUGGGCGUAAAGAGCGUGUAGGCGGCUUGGUAGGUCUGCUGUGAAAACUCGGGGCUCAACCCCGAGACGUCGGUGGAAACCACCUGGCUAGAGUCCGGAAGAGGAGAGUGGAAUUCCUGGUGUAGCGGUGAAAUGCGCAGAUAUCAGGAAGAAUAUCCGUGGCGAAGGCGGCUCUCUGGUACGGCACUGACGCUGAGACGCGAAAGCGUGGGGAGCGAACAGGAUUAGAAACCCCAGUAGUCC